UGCAGUCGAGCGGUAGCACAGAGAGCUUGCUCUCGGGUGACGAGCGGCGGACGGGUGAGUAAUGUCUGGGAAACUGCCUGAUGGAGGGGGAUAACUACUGGAAACGGUAGCUAAUACCGCAUAACGUCGCAAGACCAAAGUGGGGGACCUUCGGGCCUCAUGCCAUCAGAUGUGCCCAGAUGGGAUUAGCUAGUAGGUGGGGUAACGGCUCACCUAGGCGACGAUCCCUAGCUGGUCUGAGAGGAUGACCAGCCACACUGGAACUGAGACACGGUCCAGACUCCUACGGGAGGCAGCAGUGGGGAAUAUUGCACAAUGGGCGCAAGCCUGAUGCAGCCAUGCCGCGUGUGUGAAGAAGGCCUUCGGGUUGUAAAGCACUUUCAGCGGGGAGGAAGGCGAUAAGGUUAAUAACCUCGUCGAUUGACGUUACCCGCAGAAGAAGCACCGGCUAACUCCGUGCCAGCAGCCGCGGUAAUACGGAGGGUGCAAGCGUUAAUCGGAAUUACUGGGCGUAAAGCGCACGCAGGCGGUCUGUCAAGUCGGAUGUGAAAUCCCCGGGCUCAACCUGGGAACUGCAUUCGAAACUGGCAGGCUAGAGUCUUGUAGAGGGGGGUAGAAUUCCAGGUGUAGCGGUGAAAUGCGUAGAGAUCUGGAGGAAUACCGGUGGCGAAGGCGGCCCCCUGGACAAAGACUGACGCUCAGGUGCGAAAGCGUGGGGAGCAAACAGGAGUAGAUACCCUGGUAGUCCACGCCGUAAACGAUGUCGAUUUGGAGGUUGUGCCCUUGAGGCGUGGCUUCCGGAGCUACGCGUUAAAUCGACCGCCUGGGGAGUACGGCCGCAAGGUUAAAACUCAAAUGAAUUGACGGGGCCCGCACAAGCGGUGGAGCAUGUGGUUUAAUUCGAUGCAACGCGAGAACCUUACCUGGUCUUGACAUCCACAGAACUU
rnacentral:rRNA from 1 species